rnacentral:lncRNA from 1 species
CCUAGCAAGUCUUUUGGUGAGAAGAAUUAUAAUCCUUCUCCUAGCAGCACUUCAUGAACUGAAAUCAUUCUCUAGGAUGAUGAUGACAUGCCAGUUCUUGGUAUACGGACAUGAGUCCUGAGAUCCCACACGUGGAUACACAAAAGGACUGCAUAGAGUGCUGAAGAUUGGGAAGAUACCCUUGUGGGAAAGUUUCCUUGAUGUGCUGGGCUUUAUAUCCUUGAAGGAAUAGCAUGGUCUAAGUGGAAGUUGGUUAGCUUUGUCCUUUUUCCACAAGAUAGGACUGCAAAAUUACUGAAAUGUUGCAACUAUCAAUCAGUGUCCUCGUACCUGCUCAGCACUCAUGAUGCUGACAAUAAACCUGGGCUGUGUGGCAGAUGAGGCUGUCCAGUAUCAGAAAAAUAUGAGAAUAUAUGGAAUGCUGGUUUCUCCACUCACCCUUGGCUCUGUAAUUUCAUCAUCCAGCCAUGGAGGACUGUGCAGGCAAAAGGCCAAGGUGUCUGCAUAUUGAUGACAUCAGGGGUUUGACCUGGCAGUCUUCCAGUGCUCAAAUCACUGCUUCCACCUUGGCAGACGCAGAUUUAGAGAAUUUCUGAGAUGUCCUAGCACAGAGAGAAGAAGACCCAAAAGUCGCAGCUGGAAAGAAGAUCCUAGAGGGACAUCACCCCUGAAGGACAGUGAUCUCUGCUUUUCACCAGCUGUCAGCACUGCUGAUCCAUGUGGGCUAGGCAGGGCAAUGCUGCCUUCUUCAUGUAAAUCAGAAGAGCAAGGAAAGCUAAUUGCCAGGUAAGGUCAUUAAGUAUUUAAUUUAUUUAAUUAAUGAACCAAGAGGUAUCAUCUCCAAAUUUAGAGUGAUAAAGUCAGAAGCUUCAAAACCAGAAAGAAGUGUUUUGUAAUACCCAGAAGUGGGAAUUAAAAUAGAGAUUAAUCCACGUUGUAUCUUUGAAGCUUCGAUUCAUGCCCAUAACUGUGGUUCUGAAUUGCUUCUCAAGCUGGAAGACAUGUGGAUGGGAAAUCUUGCAAAAUAUCAGAUCUCAUAGUAUUUCUGCCUCUUAAAAUUAGCCAUGUUGAAGGAUUGGGCACUGUCAAGGCUUAGUUCUGUUUUAAAGUGGAGACUUAAAAUUAGCCUAACCAUGAAUUUGAAUUGGAUCUUCAUAUAGUACAUACUCCAGAUGCUACAAUAACACCUGCUAGUGCAGCUACAAAUAAAAAAAGUACCUAGUAUUACUUAAAAUGUGCA